CACCGCGGUUAUACGAGAGGCCCAAGUUGAUAAGCCACCGGCGUAGAGCGUGGUUAGGACGAAAAUUACACUAGAGCCAAACACCUUCAAGACUGUUAUACGCAACCGAAGACAGGAAGUCCAACCACGAAAGUGGCUUUAUCUGGUUUCAACCCACGAAAGCUAGGGGACAAACGGGGAUUAGACACCCUCCUAUGCCUAGCCAUAAACAUUGAUGGCCCAAUACGUCCGUCAUCCGCCUGGGAACUACGAGCAACAGCUUAAAACCCGAAGGACUUGGCGGUGCUUUAGACCCACCUAGAGGAGCCUGUUCUAGAACCGAUAACCCCCGUUCAACCUCACCCUUCCUUGUUCAUCCAGCCUAUAUACCGCCGUCGUCAGCUUACCCCCUGAGGGUCCUUAAGUAAGCAAGACUGGUAAAGCCCAAAACGUCAGGUCGAGGUGUAGCGCAUGGAGGGGGAAAAAAUGGGCUACAUUCGCUAUCCCAGCGAAUACGGACGAUGCGCUGAAACGCUCAUCUGAAGGAGGAUUUAGCAGUAAGCAGGAAAUAGAGCGUCCCGCUGAAACUGGCCCUGAAGCGCGUACACACCGCCCGUCACUCUCCCCAAAAACAUCUUUACACUAUUAAAUAAAGCCUGAUAAUCGAAAGGGGAGGCAAGUCGUAACAUGGUAAGUGUACUGG
rnacentral:rRNA from 1 species